UUGCUCUUCAACGAGGAAUUCCUAGUAAGCGUGAGUCAUCAGCUCGCGUUGAUUACGUCCCUGCCCUUUGUACACACCGCCCGUCGCUACUACCGAUUGAAUGGCUUAGUGAGACCUCCGGAUUGGCUUUGGGGAGCCGGCAACGGCACCUUAUUGCUGAGAAGUUGGUCAAACUUGGUCAUUUAGAGGAAGUAAAAGUCGUAACAAGGUUUCCGUAGGUGAACCUGCGGAAGGAUCAUUAAUGAAAUUAUGACUGGGGUUGUAGCUGGCCUAUAAAACGGCAUGUGCACGCUCCUUUCACAAUCCACACACACCUGUGCACCUUCGCGGGGGUCUUUUUUUCUCUUCGGGGGAAUAAAGGCUCGCGUCCCUUUACACACCCUUUGUAUGUCUUAAGAAUGUCUACUCGAUGUAAUAAAACGCAUCUAAUACAACUUUCAACAACGGAUCUCUUGGCUCUCGCAUCGAUGAAGAACGCAGCGAAAUGCGAUAAGUAAUGUGAAUUGCAGAAUUCAGUGAAUCAUCGAAUCUUUGAACGCACCUUGCGCCCUUUGGUAUUCCGAAGGGCACACCUGUUUGAGUGUCGUGAAAUUCUCAACCCUCCUCGCUUUUUCGGCGAGCGUAGGGAUUGGACUUGGAGGCUUUGCCGGGCUCUCAUCGCUCGGCUCCUCUCAAAUGCAUUAGUGCGUCUUGUUGCGACGUGCGCCUCGGUGUGAUAAUUAUCUACGCUGUGGUGCGCUUGCUUCUUGUGGAGACACGCUUUCGAACCGUCCGAAAGGACAGCUUUCAUCGAACUUUGACCUCAAAUCAGGUGGGACUACCCGCUGAACUUAAGCAUAUCAAUAAGCGGAGGA
rnacentral:rRNA from 1 species